CCUACGGGCGGCUGCAGUAGGGAAUCUUCCACAAUGGGCGAAAGCCUGAUGGAGCAACGCCGCGUGGGUGAAGAAGGUCUUCGGGUCGUAAAGCCCUGUUGUUGGAGAGGAAGGUGCUGGAGAGUAACUGUUCACGUUUCGACGGUAUCUGCCCAGGAAGCCCCGGCUAACUACGUGCCAGCAGCCGCGGUAAUACGGAGGUGGCAAGCGUUAUCCGGAUUUAUUGGGCGUAAAGGGCACGCAGGCGGUCUUUUAAGUCUGAUGUGAAAGCCUUCGGCUUAACCGGAGAAGUGCAUUGGAAACUGGGAGACUUGAGUGCCGAAGAGGGGAGUGGAAUUCCAGGUGUAGCGGUGAAAUGCGUAGAUAUAUGGAGGAAUACCAGUGGCGAAGGCGGCCCCCUGGGCGGUAACUGACGCUGAGGUGCGAAAGCGUGGGUAGCAAACAGGAUUAGAUACCCGAGUAGUC
rnacentral:rRNA from 1 species